rnacentral:rRNA from 1 species
GCGACCAUACCACGUUGGAAACACCGGUUCUCGUCUGAUCACCGAAGUUAAGCAACGUGCGGGCCCUGUUUAGUACUUGCACUGGGUGACCGGUGGGAAUCCGGGUGGUUGCGGCCGUU